rnacentral:misc_RNA from 1 species
GAUGAAGAACGCAGCGAAAUGCGAUACGUAAUGUGAAUUGCAGAAUUCAGUGAAUCAUCGAAUCUUUGAACGCAUAUUGCGCUCUCUGGUAUUCCGGAGAGCAUGCUUGUUUGAGUAUCAGUAAACACCUCAACUUCCAUAUCUUUUUUGAAAUGGGAGUUGGACUUGAGAGAUCCCAACGCUUUUCCUCACCGAAAAGUGGCGGGUUACUUGAAAUGCAGGUGCAGCUGGACUUUUCUCUGAGCUAUAAGCAUAUCUAUUUAGUCUGCCUAAAAAACAGAUUAUUACCUUUGCUGCAGCUAACAUAAAGGAGAUUAGUUCUUGUGCUGACUGAUGCAGGAUUCACAAAGACGGCUUCGGCCGACUUUGUAAACUCGAUCUCAAAUCAAGUAAGACUACCCGCUGAACUUAAGCAUAUCAAUAAGCGGGGA